GGAUUUCGAUGUCAAGGCUCCUUGGACUCGAGAUUAAUUCUUUCGAUGUACAGCUGUUCAAGUCGGGUCACUAGCCAACCUUUUUGUGUUCGGAAAAUUCUUUCAGAUGUUCUAGAUGUGGCAUGUAUAGAAAGUGUAAUGUAGUUCAGACGUUUCAUUUACUUCGCUAUCCAGGUUGUAUAAAUAUAUAUAUAGACUUUCGGAAACAGGUUUAUGGUCUAAUUUCAGACGAUAUAUAGCAGUUUUUCCGUUUGCCAAGUAAA